rnacentral:rRNA from 1 species
GAUGAACGCUGGCGGCGUGCCUAACACAUGCAAGUCGAACGGACUUUUAAUGAAGCCUAGCGAUUUAAAAGUUAGUGGCGGACGGGUGAGUAACGCGUGGGUAACCUGCCGUAUACAGGGGGAUAACACUUAGAAAUAGGUGCUAAUACCGCAUAAGCGCACAGUUUCGCAUGGAACAGUGUGAAAAACUCCGGUGGUAUACGAUGGACCCGCGUCUGAUUAGCUAGUUGGUGAGGUAACGGCUCACCAAGGCGACGAUCAGUAGCCGGCCUGAGAGGGUGAACGGCCACAUUGGGACUGAGACACGGCCCAAACUCCUACGGGAGGCAGCAGUGGGGGAAUAUUGCGCAACGGGGGGAACCCUGACGCAGCAACGCCGCGUGAAGGAAGAAGGCC